rnacentral:tRNA from 1 species
GGGCCUAUAGCUCAGCGGUAGAGCGGCCGGCUCAUAACCGGUUGGCCCCAGGUUCGAUCCCUGGUGGGCCCACCA